rnacentral:rRNA from 1 species
UGGGGAAUCUUAGACAAUGGGCGCAAGCCUGAUCUAGCCAUGCCGCGUGAGCGAUGAAGGCCUUAGGGUUGUAAAGCUCUUUCAGCUGGGAAGAUAAUGACUGUACCAGCAGAAGAAGCCCCGGCUAACUCCGUGCCAGCAGCCGCGGUAAUACGGAGGGGGCUAGCGUUGUUCGGAAUUACUGGGCGUAAAGCGCACGUAGGCGGACUGGAAAGUCAGGGGUGAAAUCCCGGGGCUCAACCCCGGAACUGCCCUUGAAACUCCCGGUCUUGAGGUCGAGAGAGGUGAGUGGAAUUCCGAGUGUAGAGGUGAAAUUCGUAGAUAUUCGGAGGAACACCAGUGGCGAAGGCGGCUCACUGGCUCGAUACUGACGCUGAGGUGCGAAAGCGUGGGGAGCAAACAGG